GGCAGGUACAGCGAGUAGUCGGAGAGCGCCCAGCGGCGGGCCGGGCGGCCGGUACGGCCGAUCAUGGGCAGCUUCUGCACGUAGCGGGACGCGGGGCUGGGCCCAUAUGGGGCAGGAAAGGCAGUUUGAAAGAGGCGCCCGCGGCAGCGCCGCCCGGCCUGACGCCCUGCGAUUAUAAACCGGAAGUGUGGGGCGCCACGGGGCGCGAAGCGGCUCUUCUGGAAGACGUCUCGCGUUCCCGCGCCGGGGCCCUGCUGACGAGGAGCACCCCGCGCCCGGUGUACGCGCGGUAGCGGCCUGCUCUCCGAGGCGGCGGUGGCGGUGGCGAGAGUCCCACCGCACGGGCUUUCGUCACCCUGAGGGCUGACCACGGCGCUGGCAGUCAGCUGCGGCAUUUUCCGCACCGAAUCCGGGGCAGCCGCAGGCUCCUUCUUGUCUCCGGGUGGUCGCGGGGCCGUGGGAGCAGGCUGGCCAGUGCCAAAGCGAGUGGCCAAGCUGUCACCAAAGAAGGAGUAUAGCUCACGGUAGAUGUCUGCCAGGGUCAAGGAAGAAGGGUCCUCUGGUCCCGCAACCCCUGAUGGUGGCGGGAGACCAGACCCAAAACCUGUUUCGGAGCUGCCCCCGGGGGGAGAUUCUUGUAGGAGAAGGCUGUCCCAAGGCAGGUCCUCCGCAGGACGGUACCCUCUCCCGCCAAGGCCACCGCGGUUGGGCUCUGCUGCCUGAGCUUUCAUCUUCAAUAGUCGUUCUACGGCCACCUGUAAACAGAGAGCUAAGAGGAACCUGGGCCCAAGAGCCAUGGCAAAGUAAAUCUGCUAAGCUCCUGCAGGAAAGAGAAGGUGGGACUGCUAACUCACCAGAAUGGCUCCAUACACUUUGUGCCCGUCCGCUUUGACCUGGGCAUUAGAUACGGAAUAGUCAUCCAGCACAGCCUGCAAGUUUGUCCAGUAAGUGGGCAGAUGUGGGUAGAGGACUCGCUCCACUGCCUGGAAUGCAAAGGACUGCAGUCAAGCAACCUUGUUCCAAAUGCCCUCUUCAGUGCCCUUUCCCACAAAAGAUCCACUCAAUUUUUGACAGGGCUCAGUCCUCUAUUUCCUUAUUGACAUAUCCCACGUCUCUGGGAUCUAUUGUAUGCAUAAGCUUUUGGUAAGCAUAAGGGAUCAAAACAUACAAAUACAUGCAAUAUUAAAAAGCCC
rnacentral:lncRNA from 1 species